rnacentral:rRNA from 1 species
UCUUUUUGAAAAUAAUUUAAAGUCUAAUCUGCCCACUGAAAAUUUUAAAGGGCCGCGGUAUUUUGACCGUGCAAAGGUAGCAUAAUAAUUAGUCUUUUAAUUGAGGGCUAGAAUGAAUGAUUGGACGAGGUGUUGACUGUCUCAAUUUAAUGUUAAUAGAAUUUAAUUUUUAAGUUAAAAAGCUUAAAUAAAAUUAGAGGACGAGAAGACCCUAUAGAGCUUUAUAUUUUUAUUAUAAUUUAUGAAUAGAAUAAAAAUUUAUUUUAUAAAAAAAAAUAUUUUGUUGGGGUGACAAGAAGAUUUAAUAAACUCUUUUUAUAUAUUUAAACAAUGAUUUUUGAAAAAUUGAUCCAUUUUUAGUGAUUAUAAGAUUAAGUUACCUUAGGGAUAACAGCGUAAUUUUUUUUGAGAGUUCAUAUCGACAGAAAAGGUUGCGACCUCGAUGUUGGAUUAAGGGUUAUUUUUGGGUGUAGAAGUUCAAAGUUUAGGUCUGUUCGACCUUUGAAUCCUUACAUGAUCUGAGUUCAAACCGG